rnacentral:rRNA from 1 species
GAAACGACUGCUAAGACUGGAUAGGAAAAGUAAAGGCAUCUUUACUUUUUUAAAAGACCUUCUUUGAAGGUAUGCUUAAGGAGGGGCUUGCGACACAUUAGUUAGUUGGCAGGGUAAAGGCCUACCAAGACUAUGAUGUGUAGCUGGACUGAGAGGUUGAACAGCCACAUUGGGACUGAGACACGGCCCAAACUCCUACGGGAGGCAGCAGUAGGGAAUUUUCGGCAAUGGAGGAAACUCUGACCGAGCAACGCCGCGUGAACGAUGAAGUACCUCGGUAUGUAAAGUUCUUUUAUUAAGGAAGAAAAAAGAGUGGAAAAACUCCCUUGACGGUACUUAAUGAAUAAGCCCCGGCUAAUUAUGUGCCAGCAGCCGCGGUAAUACAUAAGGGGCGAGCGUUAUCCGGAAUUAUUGGGCGUAAAGGGUGCGUAGGCGGUUUAAUAAGUCUAUAGUUUAAUUUCAGUGCUUAACGCUGUUGUGCUAUAGAAACUGUUUUACUAGAAUGAGUUAGAGGCAAGCGGAAUUCCAUGUGUAGCGGUAAAAUGCGUAAAUAUAUGGAGGAACACCAGAGGCGUAGGCGGCUUGCUGGGACUUUACUGACGCUGAGGCACGAAAGCGUGGGGAGCAAACAGGAUUAGAUACCCUGGUAGUCCACGCCGUAAACGAUGAGUACUAAGUGUCGGGUAAAACCGGUACUGAAGUUAACACAUUAAGUACUCCGCCUGAGUAGUACGUACGCAAGUAUGAAACUUAAAGGAAUUGACGGGACUCCGCACAAGCGGUGGAUCAUGUUGUUUAAUUCGAAGAUACACGAAAAACCUUACCAGGUCUUGACAUUUUCUUGCGAAGUUAUAGAAAUAUAAUGGAGGUUAUCAGGAAAACAGGUGGUGCAUGGUUGUCGUCAGCUCGUGUCGUGAGAUGUUAGGUUAAGUCCUAAAACGAGCGCAACCCUUGUCGUUAAUUGCCAGCAUGUAAUGAUGGGGACUUUAACGAGACUGCCAAUGAAAAAUUGGAGGAAGGUGGGGAUUACGUCAAAUCAUCAUGUCCCUUAUGAUCUGGGCUACAAACGUGAUACAAUGGUUGAUACAAAGAGUAGCUGAAACGCGAGUUCUUAGCCAAUCUCACAAAAUCAAUCUCAGUUCGGAUUGAAGUCUGCAACUCGACUUCAUGAAGUUGGAAUCGCUAGUAAUCGCGAAUCAGCAUGUCGCGGUGAAUACGUUCUCGGGGUUUGUACACACCGCCCGUCAA